rnacentral:rRNA from 1 species
GUGCCAGCCGCCGCGGUAAUACGGAGGGUGCAAGCGUUAUCCGGAUUCACUGGGUUUAAAGGGAGCGUAGGUGGGUUGGUAAGUCAGUGGUGAAAUCCCCGAGCUUAACUUGGGAACUGCCAUUGAUACUACCAAUCUUGAAUUCUGUGGAGGUAAGCGGAAUAUAUCAUGUAGCGGUGAAAUGCUUAGAUAUGAUAUAGAACACCAAUAGCGAAGGCAGCUUACUACGCAGAUAUUGACACUGAGGCUCGAAAGCGUGGGGAUCAAACAGGAUUAGAUACCCUGGUAGUCCACGCCCUAAACUAUGGAUACUCGACAUCAGCGAUACACAGUUGGUGUCUAAGCGAAAGCAUUAAGUAUACCACCUGGGGAGUACGCCCGCAAGGGUGAA